rnacentral:rRNA from 1 species
CCUUGAGAGUCCUGAAGGAACGUUGAAGACGACGACGUUGAUAGGCCGGGUGUGUAAGCGCAGCAAUGCGUUGAGCUAACCGGUACUAAUGAACCGUGAGGCUUAACCUUACAACGCCGAAG